UAAUACAUGCAAGUCGAACGCGUCUCCGUUAAUGAUUUUAGGUGCUUGCACUUGAAAGAUUUAACAUUGAGACGAGUGGCGAACUGGUGAGUAACACGUGGGUAACCUGCCCUUGAAGUAGGGGAUAACACUUGGAAACAGGUGCUAAUACCGUAUAACAACCAAAACCACCUGGUUUUGGUUUAAAAGACGGCUUCGGCUGUCACUUUAGGAUGGACCCGCGGCGUAUUAGCUUGUUGGUAAGGUAACGGCCUACCAAGGCGAUGAUACGUAGCCGACCUGAGAGGGUAAUCGGCCACAUUGGGACUGAGACACGGCCCAAACUCCUACGGGAGGCAGCAGUAGGGAAUCUUCCACAAUGGACGAAAGUCUGAUGGAGCAACGCCGCGUGAGUGAUGAAGGGUUUCGGCUCGUAAAACUCUGUUGUUGGAGAAGAACAGGUGUCAGAGUAACUGUUGACAUCUUGACGGUAUCCAACCAGAAAGCCACGGCUAACUACGUGCCAGCAGCCGCGGUAAUACGUAGGUGGCAAGCGUUGUCCGGAUUUAUUGGGCGUAAAGCGAGCGCAGGCGGUUUUUUAGGUCUGAUGUGAAAGCCUUCGGCUUAACCGGAGAAGUGCAUCGGAAACCGGGAGACUUGAGUGCAGAAGAGGACAGUGGAACUCCAUGUGUAGCGGUGAAAUGCGUAGAUAUAUGGAAGAACACCAGUGGCGAAGGCGGCUGUCUGGUCUGUAACUGACGCUGAGGCUCGAAAGCAUGGGUA
rnacentral:rRNA from 1 species